rnacentral:misc_RNA from 1 species
CUGAGUUUUUAACUCUCCAAACCAUGUGAACUUACCACUGUUGCCUCGGUGGAUGGUGCUGCUCCCUCGGGGGUGGUGCUGCCGCCGGUGGACAAACUAAACUCUUGUUAAUUUUUGGCAUUCUGAAUCAAAUCAAGAAAUAAGUUA